GACGGGACCCGCACAAGCAGCGGAGCAUGUGGUUUAAUUCGAAGCAACGCGAAGAACCUUACCAAGGCUUGACAUCCCCUUGACCAGUGCAGAGAUGUACUCUCUCCUUCGGGAGCAAGGGGUGACAGGUGGUGCAUGGUUGUCGUCAGCUCGUGUCGUGAGAUGUUGGGUUAAGUCCCGCAACGAGCGCAACCCUUAUCCUUAGUUGCCAGCAGGUUAAGCUGGGCACUCUAGGGAGACUGCCGAUGAUAAAUCGGAGGAAGGUGGGGAUGACGUCAAAUCAUCAUGCCCCUUAUGUCUUGGGCUACACACGUGCUACAAUGGUCGGUACAACGGGAAGCGAAGGAGUGAUCUGGAGCAAAUCCCAAUAAACCGAUCUCAGUUCGGAUUGUAGGCUGCAACUCGCCUACAUGAAGUCGGAGUUGCUAGUAAUCGCGAAUCAGAACGUCGCGGUGAAUGCGUUCCCGGGUCUUGUACACACCGCCCGUCACACCAUGGAAGUUGGUAAUACCCGAAGUCGCUGAGCUAACCGCAAGGGGGCAGGCGCCGAAGGUAGGAUCAAUGACUGGGGUGAAGUCGUAACAAGGUAGCCGUAUCGGAAGGUGCGGCUG
rnacentral:rRNA from 1 species